rnacentral:rRNA from 1 species
UACGUAGGGGGGCAAGCGUUGUCCGGAUUUAUUGGGCGUAAAGAGCGUGUAGGCGGCCACACAGGUCAGCUGUGAAAACUCGAGGCUCAACCUCGAGACGUCGGUUGAAACCGUAUGGCUAGAGUCCGGAAGAGGAGAGUGGAAUUCCCGGUGUAGCGGUGAAAUGCGCAGAUAUCGGGAAGAACACCCGUGGCGAAGGCGGCUCUCUGGGACGGUACUGACGCUGAGACGCGAAAGCGUGGGGGAGCGAGCAGG